UUUUUACCGCGUGUUCGCAUAUUUGCGAGUCAUCCAACCCAUGAGUGGUUCGUUGUGAGUUGAUUGAAUCAAUCCCAUCUCUUGGUGGCAGGUUUUGGAUCGCGGUGAGAGAAUUGAGCUUUUGGUUGAUAAAACAGAAAAUCUGCAGUUCCAGGCUGACAGCUUCCAGAGGCAAGGCAGGCAAUUGCGACGUAAGAUGUGGCUGCAGAGUCUCCAAAUGAAGCUAAUGAUUGGAGGUGGAGUCCUUAUUCUGAUCAUCAUAAUAUGGCUUAUCGCCUGCGGAGGUUUCAAAUGCUAAGGUGCUAAGCAAACACGAAAUCGGCAAUUAUUAGGCAUCUGUUCUUCACUUGGUGUACAAAAUGUUAAUUGUUCCUGUAUACGUAAACUUUUGCAGAAUUUAAUACUCGACACUUGACAAUU